rnacentral:lncRNA from 1 species
CUUUUUUUCAUUUUUAUUUGAUUUGAAUAAAAUUUUGUAUAUAAUUAGAAUGGCUAUAAAAUAUAUAUUAUCCUUCUAUUUAAAAAAAUAUAUGUAUAUAUUUAUGAAUGAAUAAAUAUCAAGAUGAAGGCAUCAUGACCCUCUUCCACUAACUGUUAUGAGGGCAGCUUAUUUUAAAAGAAAGAGCUUUUUGGAAUUUCCAUUGAAAUUGUUGACUUGCUUGUUAAAAUUAUUUUUAAUAUUGAGAACAUUUUAUAGGAAUACCUCAGGAUACGCUCGGGUUGUGUUCCCAAAAAAACGAAGCGUAUCACGAAACAAGAUUUCCCAUAAGAAUAAUGGUAUAAAUUCGAGAUGCAAUCUGGAAAGUUGCCAAAA